AAGUCCCUCUGGUUAUGAGAAUUCAACCCGCGGUCCUAUUUUAAAUUAAGAAAACGUUUCAUUUUUACAAAAAACUCCCGGCAAUUACCACCGCGCACCACCGCUUAUCCAUUCCCAUCCACCACCGCCGGGCACGCGCCGUCACGCGUAGCCGUUUGCCGCCAGAGUCCACGCCACAGGAGCCAAGGAGGCGGGCGUACGCGUUGCCCGACCCCAGGAAUGGGGCGAGGCGUCGCGGCUGGCAUUGGCGAAUCCAUUCCCAGCGGCGGCGGCUUCCGGCGAGGAGGCGAGCGAGCUCGGGGAGCUCCGGCGGGGGCUUGUCGCCAGUGACGCGAGGCCGAGGCGGCGGCGCGCGGGCGCGAGGAGGCGGGGUCGAGGAUGCGCAGGAGGACGCCGGCGGGGGCUUGGCGAGGGCGACGGCGGUCGCGAGGGCUUGGUGGCGGCCGGCGUGCUCGCUUGGGAGGAUGGAGGCUGCCUCGCCGGGGCUCGGGCGCGAAAGCACGGCGUCGGGCCGUUGCCGAUGGCGCCGGGGCCGGGGCGGUGGUUUGACGGGCGACGAGGAGGAGGUGCUGUCCUGGAGCCAGCGACGGCGGCUGCACCUUGACGAUGCGGGCGUCAACAGCUUGCUUCAGGGGCUGCGGGCCGUGAACGGCGUUGUGCUCGCGCGCGAGACCCGUGUCUGAUUUAGAAAGAAUCAAUCCGUUGAAGAAGAAGGCCAAUGCAACUGCUCUUUAGCUACGCACUGGAGUAUCUGCACCCCCAAUGGAAUGGUACGAAUUGCUGCCGGUAAUGAACAUUGACAGGCAAGCGACAACAAACAGACUUUGCUGUUUUCAAUCUAAUGAGAUAUUUGUUGGGCAUCACCGAGGAACGCCAACAAACGUGUGAAGAAAUACUCGCAUUCAGUGUGACAUGUCGUGUGAGAUGAAGGUGGCAAACCAUCCAAACUUGAAGCCAAGCAUGUGGUGGAUCCGCCAUGGAUGAUGGAUGGACAGGUGAGUGUAGAAGUUUGAGCUGUGAAACUUUGUGCGAUCGAGCUCCUGGUGUAAUUAAGCAUAUGGCUUUUGUGAUGUGUCAUGUAGGUAGUGAUUGCCUAUAUUUCUUUCCCUCUUAAAUUUGUUGUAAUAAGGUUGUCCUUUGCAGAAGGAAGAUUGAACCACCUUUUGGUUUAGGUAGAAGCACCCAUUGAUGUUUUCCAAUUCUUUGUAUUCAUUCUAUUAUGUGCUAUAAUAGUUAAUUGCAUAUAUAGGUACUAUGUUUGGAUAUUCUCACGCAACAUCUAUGUACAACAGAUGCAGAUUUUAAGAAUAUUUAACCAAAAACCUUUGCCUGCACUGUUCAGAAUAUGAAGCCAUAUUAUAAUAAAGUUUAUUACUACAUUUUUUUUAUCUAAUUCAUGCUAGAAAUGACUUUUGUUUUCACAAAGUCCCUAGCUUAUAGGUUUGUGCUUUACUUUACUUUUUACUACAGUAACAAUGCUACAACACGAUGCAACAUCCCCUGAUGAUACUCAAGUUUCUUAUAAAACUUGGAAAUAUGCAUACAAAGGUAGUUUUGAGAGAUGGGGCUGAACAGUUACUUGUUGUAUACUUGUAUAUAAAUAUAUUGCAAUGUUGCUCCAAUUUAUCAACCCUCAGCCGUAGUAGUACAAAUAUACUCGGUGUAUUAUAGGUCCACUUAGCAUGAAGGAGCAUGAUCAAAUUGAGAAUCAGACAGAAAUAUCCGUCAAGCAUAUCAGGUCAAGGAAGGUAGAAAACCUGUUACAUAAGGUAAGGUUCAGUAGCUUCAGAACUUUUUCUGUUAUACAAAUACUGUUUCAGUUUCAGAACAUGUAUUAGUUUCGAAUUCUCUUAGUGAAAACCUCUUUACUUCAGAGCAUCCAAAUGGUGAUGUAUCCACUGUAGUUAGGAUUUAGCUCAACUUUUAAGGCAAUUUUGUAGAGUUAGGUUAACUAUAUAUGACAGUGCUUUUAGUGGUUCUGCCUUGCUUAUGUCGAAGCCGCAUAUUUUUGCAGAAUAAGGUAUUACUUGAUGAGCUAUUUGACCUAAAAAAUAAGAUCAUGGUGAAUCAGUAACUUCAUUUUAUUCUCACCCUAGAUAGUAUGCUCCUUCCGUUACUAUUGUUUAUUUAAUGGCUGACAAAAUGAGCUGCAGGAGCAAGAACUACAGGAUCAAACCAAAAACCCGAGGAAGAAGUUUCAGUUGGAUUUGUUGUCAAUGCCAAUUCCCUACCAGAGAAGGAUGUGUAGCAAGAGAUGAGAUCAAAAUCCAAAGAAGACAAAAGAAAAGGCGCACACCGGUCGGGUGUUCAAACUGUUACAAGAUUCGGGGAAGGCCACACUACUCAAAACCAAAGCAGGCAGCUAAACUAAACAAGUUCUUAUCUCAAGUUAACAUAUGUUCCUUCGAUAUAUCCUAGGCACGACCACAUGAUCAAUUGCCAUGUAGGUUUGGAAGUUGGAACCAAUCAAGAAUUGCAUCGCCUGGAUGCAUGAGGCAAUUCGAUGGUGUGAGGGCACGUCGGUUAAUGUUUGCGCUCGAGAUCUUGGCCACAUCUGCACAAUCUAAUUCUUGCAUCUUGCGUGUUGUGUUCUUCCGUUGCAACGCAUAGGCAUAUGUCCACACUUCAUGCUUCAAAAAACGACAAUAGUGUAAUCUCAUUACCGAUGUUUAUCGGAACUACAUAUAUGAAAUGUCGUGUAAUGGCACA